GGUGCUUUACUGAGCGGUUUAACUUUGCGAGCGCUGAAGCUUCCAUAAAUUGGCUUACUCGACGAGCCUAGUUUAUGAAUGCUUAUACCAUGUGCGAUCUUAACUGGCAUGCUAGAAAAAACAUUAAUCUGCCCCAUUAUCCAUAUAAGUGGGUUUGUGCUAGAUUUAUGUAUGCCCCAUUAACAAUAGUUGACCUUUCUGUUGUCAUCCAGCCUGCUCCCGAACAUCAGCCGCGCCCUACUGCCUCUGUUCCACCGGUAUGUGAUACCCCGAUUUUGUGUUUUUACCUAUUACAUUGUUUACUGCGUUGGUUUAGUGAUUUUUUUCUUUAUUGAAUCUGUCACAUGAUGAUCUGCGUCAUGUAUAAUUUAACUGAAACCAUACUUGUGCAUCUUUUUGUUUUGUAACCAUAAAUGAUAUAGUAGUUGCGAUGGAAAUCAUACCUAGUUCUAGUUGACAAAACGUCAAAAUGGCAAUCAGACAUUUUUCAGAAGGUUUGAUCGGGGCAAUGCCUAUUUGAUUAACCAGUUUGUAAGCAUACUGCAUUAUAAAUUUUGCAGUGCAUUAGCAUCAAACAAUAAUCUUGCAUUCAUCUCAUUGGCUUUGAGUCAUGUCGUGCUGAUGUUUGUGCAGCAAAGGUAGGUUUAUGUUUUCCCACUAGUGUUACUGACACCCUUAUUCUAGUAGUACAAAGGCAGCACAAUAUCAGUGUUCUCUUUAAUCUUGCGUGUAUGGUUUAUUGAAUGAAUUCUUAUAUUAUCUUAUUUUCUAAGAUGAGUGGUGACAGAGUCCAAGAUAAUGAACAUGAGCCCCACUUAUAUGCUAAUUCGACUUCCCAAUUUUUUUUGCUUGCUUACACGUUUCAGUCUGAAGUGAUAAACGUUGUUGGCCAUCUUGGAUCCUCUCUUCCCUUUUUGAUCCCCUUAUCCUUAUAUACUGCACCAAAACUCACAAAUGUUUUUGUGCAUUUUACAGGUGAGAACUGUGAAGGUCGCGCAUGUCUCCCUAAGUGCAACUGUGCAAGAUAUUAAGGAAUUCUUUUCCUUUUCAGGAGAUAUAACAUGUCGAUCUGCAGAGGUUUGUAGAAUUUGCAAUAUGAAUGCAGCAAGGCCACACUUCGGUUUUUUUUUUUUGGCUUUUGCAAAUAGUUCUUUCCUUAGCAUUCUCAGGUGUUAAUUCAUUUUCCUGUCUUGGCAGUGGUGAUGAGUGGUCUCAAAUUGCGUAUGUUGCUUUCAAAGAUGCACAUGAAGUAGAGGCUGCAGCUCGUCUUUCGGUGAGCAAAUGAAAGGCUCAACCUGCUGUAUUGGUGCCUGCCCGGAGUCUGUGUUGUAUUCGUCAACCUGUUGUAUUGGUGCCAACAAAAACAAGCCAUCCUGCCUCUGCAUCAAAACAACUGUUAACAUUUUCCCUUUUGUAGACUGGGAAAUCUGCUAGCUACUGACCACAAAUCAUUCAUCCUGAGUUAGAAUUAGCAUGAACGCAUGCUGUUUACUGUAAAUGAUGUUCUUGCCUCUGGUUAACAUUCUAUUCUGCUAGAGUUAGAAUUUGUAGUGGAUUCGUGUCCUGUGUUUUAAUCACACUUGUUAAGAAUUCUUAUGAAAUGGAUCCGCCUGAAAUGGCCAAGAGCAUUAACCCUUACAAGAUCUCCUUAGCCUUACAAUCGGUGAUAGACAGGCAAUGCAACACUAGACUGAAAUGGCGUCUUGCUUCUUUUUUCUGCCUUUUGGGGAUUAUAAGCAUCUUAAGCCUUCUUUUUUGCUUCAAAACAAACGAG
rnacentral:lncRNA from 1 species